AAAUUAACUUUUCUUUUCUUUGAAAGUGAUAUUGAAAUUCUACUCAGUUUCAGCUUGUUUUUGUUGUUGUUGUUUUUUUUUUAUCUGAGGCAAUUCCAAGUUACCCCUGGUUGGGAAACACUGCUAUAAAAUGCGGCCCCUUGUUUGCUGAUUCCCACUCUGUCCGCUGGGGUCUCUUUAGUUCUCAUCGGCUCACCUCGUGUUUUCCGGCGGUGCUCGGUUCAUCACUUCACCUACAAAUUGUCCGUGUGAUGUGCGCCAGUUUUUGUGCUCAGAUCUGGGAUUUACUGGACACGCAUUCGCUGAUUUGAACUCUGUUUGCUUAAACGAACAUUAUUUUUGUGUGUGUUUUCUGAAGUUUUCCCCCGCUCGCCGCCUGCGCCUGGUUCGUGCAGCCUCGGCAGAUUUCGGGCUCCGUGUUUCGGCUGCGCUCGGCUGUUGUCGGGCCUCGGCGGAGAAUGGAGGAAGCGGACUCGGCCACGAAGGCGCUCGGGCUGGAGGAACAAGUGCCCCUCGACGACCCGGGCUCGGACACGGAGUCAGAGGCCGAGGUCCGGGCCAUGGCGGUGAUCGCGGAGUCGGGAAACAUCGACAUGCAGAACCCAGACGAGGCCGAGGCAGAGGCGGCGUUUGCAGAGGUGACGCGUGUGACUGCAGUGUCGGUGUCCAGCGUCCAUGGGGUUGAUGACAGUGUCUUCACCACGGCUGGGGCCACUUCAGGGGUCUUCCUGAACAUGUGCUGAGUGGUCGCACGCUGCAGCUCAGCGAGGGCCUGAAUCAGAAGGCCACUCUGAUCGUGGUCCACACCGACACUGGCAUCGUGGAGGCGGCCGGGCUCAAGUCCCCGCUACCAUCGCCCCAGGUACUACGUCUGCCGUUAGCGCAACUGCUGCUACUACUACUACUACUACUACAUACUAUCGCCACUCCGCCUCUUGCUGAUCCGCUUCUGGCCUUUGCUCUUUCUCUUCC
rnacentral:lncRNA from 1 species